GACGAACGCUGGCGGCGUGCUUAACACAUGCAAGUCGAACGGUAAGGCCCUUCGGGGUACACGAGUGGCGAACGGGUGAGUAACACGUGGGUGAUCUGCCCUGCACUUCGGGAUAAGCCUGGGAAACUGGGUCUAAUACCGGAUAGUCCCUAUACCGUAAUGGUAUAGGGUAAAGCUUUUGCGGUAUGGGGGGAACCUGCGGCCUAUCAGCUAGUUGGUGAGAUAAAGGCCCACCAAGGCAAUGACGGGUAGCUGGUCUGAGAGGACGAUCAGCCUCGCUGGGACUGCGACACGGCCCAGACUCCUACGGGAGGCAGCAGUGAGGAAUGUUCCACAAUGGGCGAAAGCCUGAUGGAGCAAUACCGCGUGCAGGAUGAAGGCCUUCGGGUCGUAAACUGCUUUUUAUAGGGAGCAACUAUGAGUGUACUUAUAGAAUAAGUCACGGCUAAUCACGUGCCAGCCGCCGCUGUAA
rnacentral:rRNA from 1 species